AGAAAGAUUGGCAUUGCUGCCAGUAAAACACCUUUUCAUUUCGUUGAUGAUAUUUUCGUUACAGGUCUUGCACGAGAAAAGGUUCCAGGAUCCAAAGUAGAAUUCCUUAUUUCCGGAACAUUCUGGAGGUGGUUGUGGAACUAUGUAUUAUCCCCCUGCUCCUUCUUCAAUCUUAUCCAUCUUCACCUACUCCAGGAGGUAGCAGAUACUCCUGAUAAUAAACCUUUUAAGGUAUUCUCCUGUAUUGCACUGGAGUACUUUGGAGGUUUAUACUACUGUUAGUUAACCCUUGAGUACUUUAGAGGUUUAUACUACUGUUAGUUAACCCUGGAGUACUUUGGAGGUUUAUACUACUGUUAGUUAACCCUGGAGUACUUUAGAGGUUUUUACUACUGUUAGUUAACCCAGGAGUACUUUGAAGGUUUAUACUACUGUUAAUAAACCAUGGAGUACUUUGAAGGUUUAUGCUAGUGUUAGUUAACCCUGGAGUACUUUGGAGGUCUUUACUUCUGUUAGUUAACCCUGGAGUACUUUGGAGGUUUAUACUACUAUUAGUUACUACUGAAGUACUUUGGAGGUUUAUACUACUGCUAUUUAACCCUGGAGUACUUUGGAGGUUUAUACUACUGUUAGGUAACCCUGGAGUACUUUCAAGGUUUAUACUACUUUUACUUACCCCUGGAGUACUUUUGAAGUUUAUACUACUUUUAGUUACACCUGGAGUACUUUAGAGGUUUUUACUAGUUUUAGUUACCCCUGGAGUACUUUAGAGGUUUUUACUACUGUUAGUUUACCCUGGAGUACUUUGGAGGUUCAUACAUACAUGUAAGUUAAAUCUGGAGUACUUUGGAGGUUUAUACUACUGUUAGUUAACCCUGGAGUACUUUCAAGGUUUACACUACUGUUAGUUAACCCUGGAGUACUUUGGAGGUUUAUACUACUGUUUGUUAACACUGGAGUACUUUGGAGGUUUAUACUACUGUUAGUUCACCCUGGAGUACUUUGAAGGUUUAUGCUACUGUUAGUUAACCCUGGAGUAAUUUCAAGGUUUAUACUACUUUUAGUAACCCCUGGAGUACUUUUGAAGUUUAUACUACUUUUAGUUACACCUGGAGUACUUUAGAGGUUUUUACUACUUUUAGUUACCCCUGGAGUACUUUAGAGGUUUUUACUACUGUUAGUUUACCCUGGAGUACUUUGGAGGUUCAUACAUACAUGUAGGUUAAACCUGGAGUACUUUGGAGGUUAAUGCUACUGUUAGUCAACCCUGGAGUACUUUAGAGGUUUUUACGACUGUUAGUUAACCCAGGAGUACUUUGGAGGUUUAUACUACUGUUAGUUAACCCUGGAGUAAUUUGGAGGUUCAUACUACUGUUAGUUAACCCUGGAGUACUUUGGAGGUUUAUACUACUGUUAGUUAACCCUGGAGUAAUUUGGAGGUUUAUACUACUGUUAGUUAACACUGGAGUACUUUGGAGGUUUAUACUACUGUUAAUAAACCAUGGAGUACUUUGAAGGUUCAUACUAGUGUUAGUUAACCCUGGAGUACUUUGGAGGUCUUUACUACUGUUAGUUAACCCUGGAGUACUUUGGAGGUUUAUACUACUAUUAGUUAACACUGAAGUACUUUGGAGGUUUAUACUACUGCUAUUUAACCCUGGAGUACUUUGGAGGUCUUUACUACUAUUAGUUAACCCUGGAGUACUUUGGAGGUUAAUGCUACUGUCAGUUAACCCUGAAGUAAUUGGAGAUUUUCCUGUAUCUGUUAACCUGGCCAUGAGUGCUUGAGAAUCCUUUAUUGGUAAUUAGAAACCUGUUGAAUAGUUCCAGUUUUAUUUGUUUCUUUUGCUUUUAAAUUUAACUGAACAUAACUAAAACUUUAAAUUGUUCAAAUCGAAAUCAAAUCAGUCAUAAUAUACAAAUCCAUGAAGUUAUUUAAUUAUUUGAAUAGAUUAAGAGGACAACAAUUAUCCCACUGGUUUCUGGGUACCACUGUAUGUUGUAUUGAUUAUGUUUUAUGUUGUAUCUCUUAAAGAAUAUA